CAAGGAAUUUUCCGCAAUGGGCGCAAGCCUGACGGAGCAACGCCGCGUGCGGGAUGACGCUUUUCGGAGUGUAAACCGCUGUUCGGGGGGACGAAGCACUGACGGUACCCCCGGAGGAAGGCCCGGCUAACUACGUGCCAGCAGCCGCGGUAAUACGUAGGGGUCGAGCGUUGUCCGGAGUUACUGGGCGUAAAGCGUGCGCAGGCGGCUCAUUGCGCCCGGCGUGAAAGCCCCCGGCUCAACCGGGGAGGGUCGUCGGGGACGGGUGAGCUUGAGGGUAUCAGGGGCUGGUGGAAUUCCCGGUGUAGUGGUGAAAUGCGUAGAGAUCGGGAGGAACACCCGUGGCGAAGGCGGCCAGCUGGGAUACACCUGACGCUGAGGCACGAAGGCGUGGGGAGCGAACGGG
rnacentral:rRNA from 1 species